CAGAACUGAAAAAAUUGAGAAAGCAGCUGACUGAAGCAGAGGAAGAAUCGACCAGAAAGGAUGAAGAAGCCAAAAAAAUGAAAAAGGCACUUCAAGAUCUAGAGGAUAAACUGCGUGAGAAGGAAACAG